AGUCAGUUUUGAUUAUACAACUGA
rnacentral:snRNA from 1 species